ACAGAUCAUCUCUUGGUUUUCAAAACCAAAAAAAAGGAAAAAUAAAUCAGAAAAUUGAAAACACCUCUUGUUUUAGCUGGAAAUUCCACGUGCGGACUGCAAAAGCUGAAAAUGUUAGAGCUUGUUUUUCUUUUCUCUUCUUCAGAAUUGCUUUUCGGCCACAUAAACAACUUUUUAGUAUAUGUAAAAUGUAACGACCCGACCGAUCGUUUUAAGUAUCUGCAAUUCGCUCGGUAUUUUGAAGGCUUGAGUAUUUUCGCAUGAUAUAUUAUGAUUUACAUAAAUCGUCGGAAUUGAUUUUCAAGUUAUCCGGAAUCGAAUUGGAAGAAUGAACUUUAAGAUUUGAGCUAUAAGUUGGAAGAGUUGACCAAGUUUGACUUCUUAACAUUUGACCUCCGUACAAAACCUCAUCAUUUCUACACAUUUUCUUGCUCUUCAAGUUCAAAUCGAAUCAAUGAGGGCCGUAAAUUGAAUGAAUGUCAAUCUAGACCCUCCAUUUGUUCGAUUUCGAACUAUAAAGGAGAGAAAACGCGGGAUUUUGAAGAAAGAGACGAAAAAUCGGAAAAACCUGGAGAGAAAAAUCAGAAAAUUGGAAGAAAAGUUUUAGGGUUCGAAUUUUUGAUUUUCACAUUUUCUCUUCUAAUUUUUUGAGUUUCUGUUUUUCAUAUAUAUAAAAAAAGAACAAAAUCAGUUUCUUCUUGUUUUAAUUCUGCUUCAAAGUCAAGAAAAAUACAAACAAAAAAAUCAAUUUCUUCUUUGGAAUUUUUGAUUUUUCCUUCUAGAUUUCUGUUUUAGUUCAUUAAAAAAAACAAAAGAAGAAUCAGUCCAUUUGCAUUUGAAUCACAUUUCAAAAUCACAAAGCAAAAACUAUAUAGUGAGUAAAAGAGGAUUCUAUUUUUCUUCGCUUCUAUUUCGGAUUCGGAAUUCAACUAUGGAGUUUGAUUGAGGUUUGCCGUGGAGUUGAAGUUGUCUUUCGAGGUCAGCUCGUGGUUCCUUUUAAGUCUCGAAUUUCAGUAGCUGAUUUUCCUUUCAAGCUCGUUGCCUAGUUUUCUGCUGAUUGUACCACAUUCGAACAUCGAAGGAUAAUCGAAAUUCCAGUUUUCAGUUUGGAUACUUAUCUUGCUUGAUUUGCUGACGUUCGGCUGAAUGGUUGUAUUGUCGUGGGAAGUGGAGAGACCAAAGCCCAUUAGUAAUGAAUUUGCUCACAUGUCUUAGGAUUGGGCUUGGCCAAAUGCAUGAAAUAAGAAGUUAAAGUAAGAAUUUUCUUCUA